UACGAAGGGGGCUAGCGUUGCUCGGAAUCACUGGGCGUAAAGCGCACGUAGGCGGACUCUUAAGUCGGUGGUGAAAUCCUGGAGCUCAACUCCAGAACUGCCUUCGAUACUGAGAGUCUCGAGUCCGGGAGAGGUGAGUGGAACUGCGAGUGUAGAGGUGAAAUUCGUAGAUAUUCGCAAGAACACCAGUGGCGAAGGCGGCUCACUGGCCCGGUACUGACGCUGAGGUGCGAAAGCCAGGGGAGCGAAUGGG
rnacentral:rRNA from 1 species